GACGAACGCUGGCGGCGUGCCUAACACAUGCAAGUCGAACGGAGAUACGAUUUCGGUUGUAUCUUAGUGGCGAACGGGUGAGUAACGCGUGAGCAACCUGACUCUUAGAGGGGGAUAACACUCGGAAACGGGUGCUAAUACCGCAUAAGACCACGACAUGGCAUCAUGACGAGGUCAAAGGAGCAAUCCGCUGAGAGAGGGGCUCGCGUCCCAUUAGAUAGAUGGCGGGGUAACGGCCCACCAUGUCAGCGAUGGGUAGCCGAGCUGAGAGGCUGAUCGGCCACACUGGAACUGAGACACGGUCCAGACUCCUACGGGUGGCAG
rnacentral:rRNA from 1 species